rnacentral:rRNA from 1 species
GCGGUGUGCCUGACACAUGUAAGUUGAACGAAGGAGUUUCGUCCUGAGUAGCGAACGGGUGAGUAACGCGUGGGUUUCGCGUUAAUGUUGGUGAAUAAAUGCACGUACGCAUGUUAGUAUUCAACGCGAAGUGAUUUACCUUCAUAACGGGCGUUAUUUAAAUUAAAUACGCGAUAGGCCGAGAGGUGAAAGGUUGUUGACGGCCGCAUGAGGAUAAGCCCGCGUCCGAUUAGCUAGUUGGUGAGGUAAAGGCUUACCAAGGCCAUGAUCGGUAGCUAAUCUGAGAGGAUGACUAGCCACACUGGAAUUGAGAUACGGUCCAGACUCUUCCGGGAGGCAGCAGUGAGGAAUUUUCCGAAAUGGGCGAAAGCCUGACGGAGCGACAUCGCGUGAAGGAAAAAGGACUAUAGGUUCGUAAACUUCUUUUUUUAAGGAGCAAGAAUCUGAUAGUACUUAACGAAUAAGCAUCGGC